rnacentral:rRNA from 1 species
GGUCGAGUCGGCCUGCGCGGAAGAUGUAACGGGGCUAAACCAUGCACCGAAGCUGCGGCAGCGACACUGUGUGUUGUUGGGUAGGGGAGCGUUCUGUAAGCCUGUGAAGGUGUGUCGUGAGGCAUGCUGGAGGUAUCAGAAGUGCGAAUGCUGACAUAAGUAACGAUAAAGCGGGUGAAAAGCCCGCUCGCCGGAAGACCAAGGGUUCCUGUCCAACGUUAAUCGGGGCAGGGUGAGUCGACCCCUAAGGCGAGGCCGAAAGGCGUAGUCGAUGGGAAACGGGUUAAUAUUCCCGUACUUGGUGUUACUGCGAAGGGGGGACGGAGAAGGCUAUGUUGGCCGGGCGACGGUUGUCCCGGUUUAAGCGUGUAGGUGUGUGUUCCAGGUAAAUCCGGUUCACUUUAACACUGAGGCGUGACGACGAGGCACUACGGUGCUGAAGCAACAAAUGCCCUGCUUCCAGGAAAAGCCUCUAAGCAUCAGGUAACAUCAAAUCGUACCCCAAACCGACACAGGUGGUCAGGUAGAGAAUACCAAGGCGCUUGAGAGAACUCGGGUGAAGGAACUAGGCAAAAUGGUGCCGUAACUUCGGGAGAAGGCACGCUGACACGUAGGUGAAGUGAUUUACUCAUGGAGCUGAAGUCAGUCGAAGAUACCAGCUGGCUGCAACUGUUUAUUAAAAACACAGCACUGUGCAAACACGAAAGUGGACGUAUACGGUGUGACGCCUGCCCGGUGCCGGAAGGUUAAUUGAUGGGGUCAGCGCAAGCGAAGCUCCUGAUCGAAGCCCCGGUAAACGGCGGCCGUAACUAUAACGGUCCUAAGGUAGCGAAAUUCCUUGUCGGGUAAGUUCCGACCUGCACGAAUGGCGUAAUGAUGGCCAGGCUGUCUCCACCCGAGACUCAGUGAAAUUGAACUCGCUGUGAAGAUGCAGUGUACCCGCGGCAAGACGGAAAGACCCCGUGAACCUUUACUAUAGCUUGACACUGAACAUUGAGCCUUGAUGUGUAGGAUAGGUGGGAGGCUUUGAAGUGUGGACGCCAGUCUGCAUGGAGCCGACCUUGAAAUACCACCCUUUAAUGUUUGAUGUUCUAACGUGGACCCGUUACCCGGGUUGCGGACAGUGUCUGGUGGGUAGUUUGACUGGGGCGGUCUCCUCC